AGAAUCAACGCUGGCGGCGUGCCUCAGACAUGCAAGUCGAACGCGAAAGCCCCCUUCGGGGGGCAAGUAGAGUGGCGCACGGGUGAGUAACACGUAGGUAAUCUACCUUCGGAUGGGGAAUAACAAUCGGAAACGGUUGCUAAUACCGCAUAAUGCAGCGGCACCUAAUGGUGACAGUUGUUAAAGCGGGGGAUCGAAAGACCUCGCGUCUGAAGAGGAGCCUGCGGCGGAUUAGCUAGUUGGUAAGGUAAUGGCUUACCAAGGCUACGAUCCGUAACCGGCCUGAGAGGGCGGUCGGUCACACUGACACUGACAUACGGGUCAGACUCCUACGGGAGGCAGCAGUCGGGAAUUUUGGGGC
rnacentral:rRNA from 1 species